rnacentral:rRNA from 1 species
UACGUAGGGUGCAAGCGUUGUCCGGAAUUAUUGGGCGUAAAGAGCUCGUAGGCGGUCUGUCGCGUCUGGGGUGAAAAUCCAGGGCUUAACCCUGGACCUGCAUCGGGUACGGGCAGACUAGAGUGCGGUAGGGGAGAUCGGAAUUCCUGGUGUAGAGGUGAAAUGCGCAGAUAUCAGGAGGAACACCGGUGGCGAAGGCGGAUCUCUGGGCCGUAACUGACGCUGAGGAGCGAAAGCAUGGGGAGCGAACAGG